rnacentral:rRNA from 1 species
CCUACGGGAGGCAGCAGUGAGGAAUAUUGGUCAAUGGGCGGGAGCCUGAACCAGCCAAGUCGCGUGAGGGAAGACGGUCCUAUGGAUUGUAAACCUCUUUAGGCGGGGAGCAAUGCCGGGCACGCGUGCCCGGAGGGAGAGUACCCGCAGAAUAAGCAUCGGCUAACUCCGUGCCAGCAGCCGCGGUAAUACGGAGGAUGCGAGCGUUAUCCGGAUUUAUUGGGGUUAAGGGGUGCGUAGGCGGAUUUUUAAGUCAGCGGUAAAAUGUCCGGGCUCAACCCGGGCCGGCCGUUGAAACUGGGGAGCUUGAGUGGGCGAGAAGUAUGCGGAAUGCGUGGUGUAGCGGUGAAAUGCAUAGAUAUCACGCAGAACUCCGAUUGCGAAGGCAGCAUACCGGCGCCCGACUGACGCUGAGGCACGAAAGCGUGGGGAUCGAACAGGAUUAGAUACCCCGGUAGUC